GGGUUGUGAGGUUAAGCGACUAAGCGUACACGGUGGAUGCCCUGGCAGUCAGAGGCGAUGAAGGGCGUGCUAAUCUGCGAUAAGCGCCGGUAAGGUGAUAUGAACCGUUAUAACCGGCGAUACCCGAAUGGGGAAACCCAGUGUGAUUCGUCACACUAUCAUUAACUGAAUCCAUAGGUUAAUGAGGCGAACCGGGGGAACUGAAACAUCUAAGUACCCCGAGGAAAAGAAAUCAACCGAGAUUCCCCCAGUAGCGGCGAGCGAACGGGGAGGAGCCCAGAGCCUGAAUCAGCAUGUGUGUUAGUGGAAGCGUCUGGAAAGGCGCGCGAUACAGGGUGACAGCCCCGUACACAAAAGCGCAUAUGCUGUGAGCUCGAUGAGUAGGGCGGGACACGUGGUAUCCUGUCUGAAUAUGGGGGGACCAUCCUCCAAGGCUAAAUACUCCUGACUGACCGAUAGUGAACCAGUACCGUGAGGGAAAGGCGAAAAGAACCCCGGCGAGGGGAGUGAAAAAGAACCUGAAACCGUGUACGUACAAGCAGUGGGAGCCCCACCACUAAGCCAGUGGUGAACUCCACAUACGCAUCCUUUGCUGAGGAUACGGU
rnacentral:rRNA from 1 species